rnacentral:lncRNA from 1 species
AAUUUAUUUUAUUUUUAUUUUUUUAUUUAUUCAGUAACAGUUUAAUUUUACACCACGGUUUUUAACAGAAAAACCUUUGAACUGAGAAUUUAAUUAAGAAUGUAAUUUAAUAAAGAAUGUAAUUCUUUCAUCUUCGCGAAGUACAGGAGAGAAUUCUUACGUUUUGGAACAAAACGUGAAUCCCAACCAAAUUUUCUGUGAUUGUGUUAAAAAACUGGAGGCGCUUUGGUGUGAUACGCCAAUUCCUGUGUAAUUUUACUUUUAAAAUAGAUAUUUAACGCACAUGAGUCGAUGUAAGUAACGAUCAGUUUCAUUUUUCUCGGUAACCAAAAUAUGACUUAACAUAAUUAUUUUCCAGGUAUCGUGUUUUUGCCCUACUUUGAAGGUAAAAAAAUCGUACUUUGAAAAAUUUUUAAAACAUUUCUGUCAACACCAUGUGAAAGUACGUAAAAAGUUGAGUCACUUGCCGUGAUAUCAGAUCUCUGCAUGAAAAUUAUCGUGCGUGAGCAAUGCGCCAAAACGUGAUAGACCGCAAUAUGCGAAUUUCAAUUUUUGCAUAUCGUCUGUCACGUCAGUUGGAUUGACUGAGUUUUUAGAUGGACUGCGAAACAUCUAAAAUCCUUGACGCGGCGGAAUUUUGGGAGAGCAGGAAAAUAAGCAAGAAGGAGAGUUCAGGCAACGUAUGAUCCGCGUAUAUUCAAAUCUUUAUAAAAGUAUGGAAUCGUUACAAUAAUGACAGACUGACUUUCGGGAGCACUGAAGGUUGGCUGCGCUAGAUGGUGGAAACCGAAGUGGCGUCUCUCCAGUUUGAAAACUUGGAGCUCUGCUCCGAAAAAGCCUUAUCUCACCAUCCAUCUUGUGCCGCUAUGUAAUAAAAAAAUGAUAAAAAAAAAUGCGGACGACUGAUCACAGCAAGGUGCGGUGGCGUUUGCGGACGUGGCGCUUGGAUUUGGAAAUUCACAGAGUGAGAUCGAAAAUGUGGGAGAAAGGGAGAUAGCGAACUCUAUGAAAAUAUGCGUUGCGGUGCACGCGACAUC